AUAAUGUUAGUAUUAAGUACGUUUAAUUUCCAAUUAAAAAUUAUAUAAAUUUUAAAAUUUAUUAAGUA
rnacentral:tRNA from 1 species